GACGAACGCUGGCGGCGUGCUUAACACAUGCAAGUCGAACGGAAAGGCCCUGCUUUUGUGGGGUGCUCGAGUGGCGAACGGGUGAGUAACACGUGAGUAACCUGCCCUUGACUUUGGGAUAACUUCAGGAAACUGGGGCUAAUACCGGAUAGGAGCUCCUGCUGCAUGGUGGGGGUUGGAAAGUUUCGGCGGUUGGGGAUGGACUCGCGGCUUAUCAGCUUGUUGGUGGGGUAGUGGCUUACCAAGGCUUUGACGGGUAGCCGGCCUGAGAGGGUGACCGGCCACAUUGGGACUGAGAUACGGCCCAGACUCAUACGGGAGGCAGGAGUGGGGAAUAUUGCACAAUGGGCGGAAGCAUGAUGCAGCAACGCCGCGUGCGGGAUGACGGCAUUCGGGUUGUAAACCGCUUUCGCCUGUGACGAAGCGUGAGUGACGGUAAUGGGUAAAGAAGCACCGGCUAACUACGUG
rnacentral:rRNA from 1 species